AUUGAACGCUGGCGGCAUGCUUUACACAUGCAAGUCGAACGGUAACAGGCCGCAAGGUGCUGACGAGUGGCGAACGGGUGAGUAAUGCAUCGGAACGUGCCCAGUCGUGGGGGAUAACGCAGCGAAAGCUGCGCUAAUACCGCAUACGAUCUCUGGAUGAAAGCGGGGGACCGAAAGGCCUCGCGCGAUUGGAGCGGCCGAUGUCAGAUUAGGUAGUUGGUGGGGUAAAGGCCCACCAAGCCAACGAUCUGUAGCUGAUCUGAGAGGACGACCAGCCACACUGGGACUGAGACACGGCCCAGACUCCUACGGGAGGCAGCAGUGGGGAAUUUUGGACAAUGGGCGCAAGCCUGAUCCAGCAAUGCCGCGUGCAGGAAGAAGGCCUUCGGGUUGUAAACUGCUUUUGUACGGAACGAAACGGUCCUGGUUAAUACCUGGGGCUAAUGACGGUACCGUAAGAAUAAGCACCGGCUAACUACGUGCCAGCAGCCGCCGUAACAC
rnacentral:rRNA from 1 species